rnacentral:lncRNA from 1 species
GAAAAUUUGUUAGAACUGGAAAAGUGAAAUCUAAACCAUUGCUAAACACAAAAAAUCUUUAAUAUUUUUAAUUUUGUAAACAACUAAGGUGCUUUUGGUUGUGAUCAUCCAACAUAGAGUAUUUAUGAACUGAUUCCUUCUUAACUUGUUCUUGGUAAGUAUAGAUAGUUCAUAUUAAAUGUACAGUAUAAAAUAUAAAAUAUACAGUAUAUCAACAGACCUAUUAUAUUAUGUUUCAUUCUUUAUUCAGUGGAAAGAAAUGCAGAGACACAAGGAACCUUUGAAAUUUUCUGAAAGUCCACACGAAGGAGCGAAACAUUAUCAGUCUCCAGUACUUGCAGCUCAGAGACCAUUCUUGGCAUCGAGCAUCUCCGCUGAUCUGCUAAGUGCACAGUGGGUAAGACAUUGUAGGGUGAGCCAGUUACUGGAAAACCCCCAGAAAAAGCCGAUUUUUUUUAAACGAAAAUUGAAACAAAAUGGC